UUAAGUUAUUCGCAAUUAUGAUUUCAGACAAGGUUUUCAGAGUUGUGAUGAAGACCUUCGGCGGGCGCGCGCCAGCCCGUGUGGGCCAGCGGGGCGCGAGUCCACGGCCCGCCAAAGCAACAUGGUUUGGUACACAGGGGGUUGGGAGGUUCGGGCUCGAAGAACCCUAUCUCGAUAAUGAUCCUUCCGCAGGUUCACCUACGGAAA
rnacentral:misc_RNA from 1 species